UACGUAGGGGGCAAGCGUUGUCCGGACUUACUGGGCGUAAAGCGCGCGCAGGCGGACCGGUAUGUGCCGUGUGAAAGCGCCGUCCUUACGAUGGCGAGGUCAUGGUAGACAGCUGGUCUGGAGGCUCGAAGAGGUCGGUGGAAUUCCGGGUGGAGCGGUGAAAUGCGUAGAUAUCCGGAGGAACACCGGUGGCGAAGGCGGCAUCCUGGACCGGUAUUGACGCUGAUGCGCGAAAGCCAGGGGAGCAAACGGG
rnacentral:rRNA from 1 species